UGUGACUGCUGCAAAUAUUUUACUCUACAGUGGAGAAACUACAUUCUUGCAAUAAGCCAGUGUUUACAAAUUGGUGAGUUCGAGGUACAGUGUUGGUCACUCGACAUAACCUUAAAUAUUAUCUCAUUGUUCGUUCUGAAAAUUCAGAGUGAAAAUGUUAUCAAACAAGUGAUGGAGAACGCCGAAAACAUAAUUUGAAUAAAAAAAGAGCCGAAAGAUACUUGGCCAGAUGCUGACAAAAAUUACAAUUUCGAUUCAGUGGACUCCAAAAACUUUGAAACAUUCACAUUUUGUGAGUCAUCGACAAACCACAUAAAUGAGGCUAUUGUCUUACAUGAAGAUUUAGAUGAAUAGUAUAUUUCUCAAUGGGUGCACAUAUGGUUUUUUAG